rnacentral:misc_RNA from 1 species
UUAAGUUCAGCGGGUAGUCCUACCUGAUUUGAGGUCAGAUUGUCAAAGGUUGUCCAUGACAGACGAUUAGAAGCGGUACUUCAACAUGUCGCUUCCCAAUAGCGUAGAUAAUUAUCACACCAGAGGUUAGCAACAAAAGUUCUGCUAAUGCAUUUAAGGAAAGCCGACUUGUUAAAGCCCGCAGUUCCCAUGAUCCAAGC